rnacentral:rRNA from 1 species
UGCCAGCAGCCGCGGUAAUACGGAAGGUGCGAGCGUUAAUCGGAAUUACUGGGCGUAAAGCGCACGUAGGUGGCUUGGUAAGUCGGAUGUGAAAGCCCUGGGCUCAACCUGGGAAUUGCAUUCGAUACUGCUUAGCUAGAGUAUGAGAGAGGGUAGUGGAAUUCCGGGUGUAGCGGUGAAAUGCGUAGAUAUUAGGAGGAACGCCGGUGGCGAAAGCGACUCUCUGGUCUGAUACUGACGCUGAGACGCGAAAGCGUGGGGAGCAAACAGGAUUAGAUA